CCUUUACAAUGCAGGCAACUGCGAUAAGGGGACACCGAGUGCCAGUGAAUUUCAUUGGCUGUCUUAAUGUUUAAACGCAUUCAAUAGCAAGGGCUGGGCAAGACCGGUGCCAGCCGCCGCGGUAAUACCGGCAGCCCGAGUGGUAACCACUAUUAUUGGGUCUAAAGGGUCCGUAGCCGGGCCAAUCAGUCUUCUGGGAAAUCUGGCAGCUCAACUGUCAGGCGACUAGGGGAUACUGUUGGCCUUGGGACCGGAAGAGGUAAGAGGUACUUUAGGGGUAGGAGUGAAAUCUUGUAAUCCUUAAGGGACCACCAGUGGCGAAGGCGUCUUACCAGAACGGGUCCGACGGUGAGGGACGAAAGCUAGGGGCGCAAACCGGG
rnacentral:rRNA from 1 species